CCAAUAGCGUAUAUUAAAGUUGCUGCAGUUAAAAAGCUCGUAGUUGAAUUUCGGGACUGAUAUGUCGGUCGUGCCUCGGUACGUACUGGUAUUUUUGGUUUCUCCCUUCUGACGAACCUUGAUGUCAUUAAUUUGGUGUCUUGGGAAAUCAGGACUGUUACUUUGAAAAAAUUAGAGUGUUUAAAGCAGGCUCACGCUUGAAUACAUUAGCAUGGAAUAAUGAAAUAGGACGUUUGAUUCUAUUUUGUUGGUUUCUAGGAUCGACGUAAUGAUUAAUAGGGAUAGUUGGGGGCAUUAGUAUUCAAUUGUCAGAGGUGAAAUUCUUGGAUUUAUUGAAGACUAACUACUGCGAAAGCAUUUGCCAAGGAUGUUUUCAUUAAUCAAGAACGAAAGUUAGGGGAUCGAAGACGAUCAGAUACCGUCGUAGUCUUAACCAUAAACUAUGCCGACUAGGGAUCGGAUGAUGUUAAUUUUUUAAUGACUCAUUCGGCGCCUUACG
rnacentral:ncRNA from 2 species